UACGGAGGGUGCAAGCGUUGUCCGGAUUUAUUGGGUUUAAAGGGUGCGUAGGCGGCUUUUUAAGUCAGUGGUGAAAGACAACAGCUCAACUGUUGCAGUGCCAUUGAUACUGAAGAGCUUGAGUACAGAUGAGGUAGGCGGAAUUUAUGGUGUAGCGGUGAAAAUGCAUAGAUACCAUAAAAGAACACCUAUUGCGAAGGCAGCUUACUAAGCUGUAACUGACGCUGAGGCACGAAAAGUGUGGGGGAAUCAAACAGGG
rnacentral:rRNA from 1 species